rnacentral:rRNA from 1 species
AUUGAACGCUGGCGGCAGGCCUAACACAUGCAAGUCGAACGAGUGGCGGACGGGUGAGUAAUGUCUGGGAACCUGCCCGCUGGAGGGGGAUAACUACUGGAAACGGUAGCUAAUACCGCAUCCCAUCGGAUGUGCCCAGAUGGGGUUGGCUAGUAGGUGGGGUAAGGGCUCACCUAGGCGACGAUCCCUAGCUGGUCUGAGAGGAUGACCGGCCACACGGGAACUGACAGACGGUCCAGACGCCUACGGGAGGCAGCAGUGGGGAAUAUGGCACAAUGGGCGCAAGCCGGAUGCAGCCAUGCCGCGUGUAUGAAGAAGGCCUGCGGGUUGUAAAGUACUUUCAGCGAGGAGGCGUUACUCGCAGAAGAAGCACCGGCUAACUCCGUGCCAGCAGCCGCGGUAAUAC